rnacentral:tRNA from 1 species
GGAGGGUAUAGCUCAGGGGUAGAGCGUCUGCUUAGCAUGCACGAGGUCCUGGGUUCAAUCCCCAGUACCUCCA